CUCACAAACGCCUAUAAUCUAUUGAAAAAAGAAAGAUGAUGCCAUGGAGGAGGAUGUAGUUGGCGAAAUCGAAGUCUUCUUCAAUUAGGUUUGGGAAAAAACGAUGUUCUGCUAUAAUAUGAGGUUGACGGUUUGUUUUGUUUAUUCCUUUCUGAAUAUGUUGUGGCGUUAACCAAGAAUGCUUCAGAGCUUAAGGGUAUGCGCGCUGUAGCCUGUACAGAGCUUAGGUUUCUGUUUCGCAAGUCUGGGGAAAAGGGUGGGACUCCUCAUUUCGACAAUGGACUUUGGAGGUAUUGUUAUGAACAGUUACUUAAAUCCUAUAUGUCUUAACGAGUCGUGCUAUACAGAAGUCUGCACACUACUUAAAAAUAUAUGAUUUUACUUUUUUAUUCUUAUAUUUCAUAUUUCUUGUUUGAAAAUGGUGUGCAGCGUGAGACUUAUUUUUAAAAUUUUUCAUAUUUUGACACUGCCAACUUCCUUAUUGGUUGUAUUUGUGUUGUAUGUUACCCAGUUAGAAGUAAAGAGGUGAUUUUGUAUUAGAAAGAGACAAAGGGCGAAGACUUAUACUUCUUACCUUCCCUAUGCAGACUCAAAACAAGCAAUAUGCUGUAUGGGUUUUUUAUCCCAUCUUCUAUAUUCCAGUAUAUUACUGAAUCUCAGAAUUUAUCAACAUCUAUGCCUAAAACUCCUUAUUGGUUGAAAGUAAUUGAAAGUGGUAUAAUUUUAAUAGGAGGUCUUAAUCACAUAUUUUUGUUCAGUAUGUCUACAAGCAAUUAUAUUAAGAAAUAUUCAAUCUCAGCUACUGAUACGGGAGAUUGAAAUGGAUGGUGUUUCUGAUGCAUGUCAGAAAUCAAAGGGUACAAGUUCAUUAAUCCCUGAUGAUGAUCAAAAUUUGGGAUUUUGCAGCUAUCAAAUAUGUAUGUACUUUUAAAUAUAAGUCGUCCAAGAUAUGGUAUAGAUGCAAAACCCAUCCAGACAACAAUGAUAUCAGCUAUAGUGAGUUCGUAAGUAUGUGCAUUACUAGGUGAGUGGCUACCUCAGGUCCUCAACCAUACAAGUAAAGAUGCGUGAAGAUUAUAUGCAUGGGAGGAAACGAACUGCGACUUUGAACAUAGUUUUUGGAGUUGCUGCCGCUAAGAUGGAAAGGCCAACUUCCAGAUUUAUUUUGAUGAAUUGUGAGCUGCUCAUGAACUAGCUUCAGCGAAGGUGAGAAAGGUUCUUUUGUAAACGUUAUGUUAUUGCACCUUAUUUCUGAUGUAUGUAACUGAUCAAUGUGGAUAACUCAUAUCAGUGAAAAGACUUUCCCAGUGCACUUGCACAUGACAGCUGCUUGUACCAUUGUCAA